UACGGGGGGGGUAAGCGUUGUUCGGAAUUACUGGGCGUAAAGGGCUCGUAGGCGGCCAACUAAGUCGGACGUGAAAUCCCUCAGCUUAACUGGGGAACUGCGUCCGAUACUGGAUGGCUUGGAUUUGGGAGAGGGAUGCGGAAUUCCAGGUGUAGCGGUGAAAUGCGUAGAUAUCGGGAGGAACACCAGUGGCGAAGGCGACUUCCUGGCCUGUUCUUGACGCUGAGGCGCGAAAGCUAGGGGAGCAAACGGG
rnacentral:rRNA from 1 species